AUGCCUCAAGUCCAACAACCGAAUUCUAUCUGUAAUCAAACUCAUGGCCUUGUUGCCUUAUAUAAACAUGUAUGCGUCCCUGCAUCAAGCAUACGCUUCCAAACUUUCCUUCUUUCUUUUCAUGGUAAUCAGAGCCACGAUCUCUUCCAAAAAAACGCAUCUACAGCCAUGUCGCAAGCCUCUGCUCCAGCGCUCGUGUCCCUCUCCAACGUCCAGAUCGCCGAGAAGCUCACCCGGGACAACUUCCUACCAUGGAAGGCCCAGGUGCUGCCGCCGGUGAGGGGUGCCCUGCUCAUGGGCUACCUCGACGGGUCACAAGCAGCGCCACCAAAGGAGAUCGAAGAGGCGAGGGCGGACAAGACUGUCGUUCAGGUGCAGAAUCCGGCGUAUGUCGCCUGGAUGACUCAGGACCAAAACGUCCUGGGCUUUCUUCUCGGUUCUCUCUCCCGAGAGGUACUUCUCCAGGUAAUGGAGCACACCACCGCAAGCAGCUUGUGGGCGGCGCUCCUGGCCAUGUUUGCCUCGCAGAGCCGCGCCAAGGUGAUGCAGCUGCGGACGCAGCUCACCAACACGCGGAAGGGUGAUUCCUCGGCCACGGCAUACUUCACCAAGAUGAAAGGUCUUGCUGAUGAGUUAGCCGCUGCGGGGAAGAAGAUGGAUGAGGAUGAUCUCGUGUCUCAAAUCCUCCAAGGUCUUGAUGCAGACUAUAAUCCCUUUGUUUCUGCUAUUUCUGCAAAGACCAAUGAGCAGGUUAUCACGUUGGCGGAUCUCUACUCUGGGCUGCUCGUGGCGGAGACGCGCCUAGAAGCCCAGAACCCGGUGCACCAGCAGCAGUUCUCCGUCAACCUCGCUGCUAAGGGAGGACGUGGUGGCAGCUCCUCCAACAACCGCGGCAACAGCAGCGGGAACAGCCGUGGUGGGCGCCCUGAUGAUGGGCGUGGUAACUACCACACCAACAACCAGCGCCAAGGCAACAGCGGCGGCGGCUACGGUGGUGGGUACGGCGGCGGUGGCUACAACAGCAACAACAGCGGCUAUGGUGGUCACAACAGUGGCUACGGUGGCGGCGGCUACAAUGGCGGCAGCUACGGUGGCGGGGGCUACAACAACAAUUCCCGUCCUGAUGUUGUCAUCUGUCAGAUUUGUACCAAGGCCGGCCAUGAUGCAUAUCGCUGCUGGAAGCGGUUUGAGAAGAACUACAAGAGGAAGGAGAAGACCGCAAACACCGCGGCCACCUCUUACGGAGUCGACACCAAUUGGUACAUCGACACCGGGGCGACUGACCAUAUCACGAGUGAGCUAGAUAAGCUUGCUGUUCGUGAUCGCUACACCGGCACGGAACGAGUCCACACGGCUAGUGGAUCAGGAGCAGGGAACGGGGAAAACUCUGGUGCGCGCUCGGAGUAG
rnacentral:rRNA from 1 species